rnacentral:rRNA from 1 species
AUGUCAUCAACUUCGGGGAUCAAUUCUGGCAAUCUUAGUUUGUGUGCCUUUUGUGAUCGGAAAUUCGUAGGGGUACGCAUCUAUGAAAACGCUUGCAGCCGUCAGUUUUUCUUUCUCUUUCUUUUUUGUUUUUUCUUCUGUCCAAUUACUUUUCUUUACGCGAUCUCACUCAUCCAUUCGUGUUGUUCUAUCUGUUCUCUGUUUCAUGCAUCGUUCUUUUCAUGCAAAAUUGCUUCCGUCGUUUUCCCAAGUUUUUCUGUUCUCUUGCCUCAAAUACGCAUGUUUCUAUUCUUCAAUACUUGCAUUCUUGUAUUGUCAAAUAUUCAUCUGUGA